rnacentral:tRNA from 1 species
AGGUCUUAUAGUCAUUGAAUGAUUUUAAAUUGCAAAUUUAAAGGUAAAUAGAAUUUUAAGGCUUA